GGAAAAGAGUUUUAUUUCAGUUUCCUUCGAAUUUAGACCAUCCUAUAAAAAAACAUGAGAUGUCUUCAAGGUACAGUAGUACUCACAACAGACCAAGAUAGAGGGACUAUAAAAGGAAGUAAAAAUGUUUAUGAACAAUACUGUUUGAAGAUAAGACCGGUCAAGUGGGUCAGUAUAAUUAAAAUAGUCAACGUGGCAAGGAAUUAGUCUGAAAGUAAUCAUGAGAAUCCCUAAAAGAAGCAGUUCCCUGAACUGCCCAUUCCAGAACCAUCUAGAAUAAUAAGUUCCCCCAGUGAACCAGACACAAAUCUGUGUAUACCUGAGAGGGCCACUAGUCUACCCAAUUCCAUUCUUCACUUCUUCUUAGUAACAUUACCCUGAUUUUAUUGGUGGUAGUGUAUCUAGCUAGAAGCAACAUUUCCCAGCUUCUCCUGCAAGUUGGUGUGGCCAUAUGACUAACUCUGACCAGUGAAUGUAAGUAGAGAUUGGUGUAUGUUCUUUCUGAGAAAGCUCCUUUAUGGGGAAUGAAGAGAUGGGUGUGAAUUUUUGUUUUCUACCCAUUCCUCCCUUCCGCCAUGUGGAAUUAGAUUUUAAGACUGGAUUUCUCUAGCAAAUAUCUAAGAACAUGAAAUUAUCUUGAACUCAGAAGCCACAAAUGACAGAACGGAUUCCCAAUGACUAAGAAACUGCCAUGCCAGCCAGCCCUGCACUGCUGCAGCAACAUUCUUUUGUAAGAAGGAAAGUAAACCUGACAUGUUUAGGCGCCUAUCAUCAUAUACCACCAAAUCCUAAACACAGUGAUACUGGCAUUUUCUUGGCCUUACCAGAUCCCAACAGAUGACUUUCAUUUUCACUCAACUAUAACUAUCUCAACAAUGCCAUCUGGUUGCCAGUGAGAGCAGCAUAUCAUUUGGAAAUGUUAAAAUAUGGGGGGAAAUGCACAUCUUAAGAAUUAACAGAACAUGUAUUCAAGUUUUUAAUUCAUCCUGUUGCCUUGGCUUGCCUGCAGUCUUACUGGUAAACUCAUUGCUUAUGAGACAUAGGGAAGCUGGAAGCCUCCAGCAUAGGAAGUUGAAUAGCCAUGAGAGCAUGCCUUGUGCAUAGUCAUCACAGAAAGGCAGCUAAAGGAAAUGCAAUCUAACACUGCUAUUGCAAC
rnacentral:lncRNA from 1 species